rnacentral:rRNA from 1 species
CGGUAAUAACUAAGCGUUGCUAUUUAAAUACACAAAUCUCCGCCAGAAAACUACGAGCAAAACGCUGAAAACUCUAAGGACUAGGCGGUACCUCACACCCACCUAGAGGAGCCUGUUCUAUAAUCGAUACUCCACGCUAAACCUCACCACUCCUCGCCACCCAGCCUAUAUACCGCCAUCUUCAGCAAAC